rnacentral:rRNA from 1 species
UCACCUGAUGGGGAAACAAGCUAUGGCUUUGAUCCUUGUCCCUUGUCGGCGUGCGUUUGUGCCGCUCCGAAUGGAACGCCAUAGAUGUUUUGUUGACAAGUUAACCAACCCCGGCACGGAAUGUGCCAAGGAAAAAGAAAACAAAAGAAGGUUGUACCUGGUUUUUGCCCCGUUCGCGGUGUGCAUGCUGGUUGUGACCUCUUUGAAACAAAAACGACUCUCGGCAACGGAUAUCUCGGCUCACGCAUCGAUGAAGAACGUAGCAAAAUGCGAUACUUGGUGUGAAUUGCAGAAUCCCGUGAACCAUCGAGUUUUUGAACGCAAGUUGCGCCCAAAGCCAUCCGGUUGAGGGCACGCCUGCCUGGGCGUCACGCAUCGCGUCGCUCCCCCAUGUAUAUCAGAUUUGGGAUGCAUGGUGUCGGGGCGGAGAUUGGUCUCCCGUGCAACUGCUGCGGUUGGCCCAAACAYGAGUCACCUUCGGUUGACGCACGGCUAGUGGUGGUUGAAUAGGCCCUCGUCUUUUGUCGUGCGUCG